GAUGAACGCUGGCGGCGUGCCUAAUACAUGCAAGUCGAGCGAACAGACGAGGAGCUUGCUCCUUUGACGUUAGCGGCAGACGGGUGAGUAACACGUGGGUAACCUACCUAUAAGACUGGGAUAACUUCGGGAAACCGGAGCUAAUACCGGAUAAUAUUUCGAACCGCAUGGUUCGAUAGUGAAAGAUGGCUUUGCUAUCACUUAUAGAUGGACCUGCGCCGUAUUAGCUAGUUGGUAAGGUAACGGCUUACCAAGGCAACGAUACGUAGCCGACCUGAGAGGGUGAUCGGCCACACUGGAACUGAGACACGGUCCAGACUCCUACGGGAGGCAGCAGUAGGGAAUCUUCCGCAAAGGGCGAAAGCCUGACGGAGCAACGCCGCGUGAGUGAUGAAGGUCUUCGGAUCGUAAAACUCUGUUAUUAGGGAAGAACAAACGUGUAAGUAACUGUGCACGUCUUGACGGUACCUAAUCAGAAAGCCACGGCUAACUACGUG
rnacentral:rRNA from 1 species